CACCAGGGUGUCCCGCAAAGACCCUCGGCCAGGAAAAAAACAAAAACAAAAACAAAAACAAAAAAACAACAAAAAAGCCGCUCCUGGGCAGUGAUGCGCCCCCCACCCAACCCCGACCCCCCUCCUCCCCCCACGGGGUCGGGAGGUGGGGUGCCCUCGGGGGCAGACAAACCACACAGCCAAGGGAUUCGAAUUAACUCAGCCAUUUUUGGAGAACCUUGGGGAAAAUGGAAAAUUUAAAAAAAAAAAAAAGAACAUUUUUAAAAGAAAAACGGGGAGAAAAAAAAUCGCUUCUAUUGAUGAGUUUUAUCAUCUCAAUCGAAUCUUUCCUUUCCCUGGUGAACGCGAGCUGGUGGCCCGUGUGUGGCGGAGAAGCGGGAAGUGAAGCCGAAACCCAGCGUCCCACACAGACCUCCACCAGACACUCAUACCCCACACACGUUCUCAGACACACACAGGAGUGCUUGCUGGUUAUACCAAACCCUACUAUUACUGCCUGCAGAAAUCAAUUUAAAAAAAAAUAAACAAUUUUAAAAAGGACAAAAAAAUUAAUGAUUGAGAAAAGAAGCAUUUUUUCUGACAUUUGGUCCUGCUUGAAAUAACAAAAGAAAAAAAAAAAAAACCACCACCACCACCGAUUUCCUUUGCUUCUUUUUUCCUUUUUCCUACCUUGUUUGAAAACUGUGGGCUUGGGACUGUGAAUUACUGCAUGACAUUCAAAAAGAAAAAAAAAAUAAAAAAGUUGAAUCAAAGGGCUUUUGAUUGGACUGGUCUUUAUCCCUCUGCAAAGUGCUCCCCAGGUCUCUUUUGGGGGAAUGGUGGAAGGAGGCCCUUUGAAAGUGUUUGAAAGUAGCCAAGGAAGCUGUGACUCUAAUCAUCCAGUCUUUGCCAUGUCUGAGUGUCGCUCCAGACCCAGCAAAGAACAAGGCAGACAAGCUCUGUUCCUCACCAAGCUUAGUGUCCAGAGCUCUAGAAAUCCUGACUGCCUUAACAAGCCCAAGAAAGCCAAGGCCAAAGAUGUUAUCCAGGUCCUUGCCAGCUGUCCCGGCUGGAAGGCAGAGCAGUGGACCCCACCGCCACCCCAUGCCUCCGCCCUCAAGCACCCAGGUCUCCUGCAGUCUGCCCGCCAACCAAGUUCUACCUUAAAGUAACCAUCCUGGAAGAUAAACCAUCUUCGAAUGACCGUCCUUUAAAAAAUUUUUUUUCUUUAUUUAUUCAUGAGAGACACAGAGAGAAAGGCAAAGACAUAGGCAGAGGGAGAAGCAGGCUCCCUGCAGGGAGCCCGAUGCGGGACUCGAUCCCAGGACCCUGGUAUCAUAACCUGAGCCAAAGGCAGACACUCAACCGCUGAGCCACCCAGGUGCCCCCUUGACCGUCCUGUAUGAUCAGGCCAGUGAGACCCCAGGGAGCACCUGUGAGGCCCCAAACAUUAGCAGAACUCCUAUCGAAAAUACCCUGGCAGCUGGUGGGGAGUCCUAGAGGUCAAAGGUCAGAGCAGCCCACCCGUGGGUGGCAGGGGAUGGCCAUGGCCAGCUUAAGAUGCAGGCAAUGUAUCUGAGGUACAGAUAAAGGUGAAGUUCAUACAAAGGGACUGAUAACCUAGCCUCCCUCCACCUUCAAACCCACCCAGUGCACCUGCCACACGCUCCCACUCCAGCCUUACGGAAGCUGCCCUACAGAUGAAGAUGGUAGAAGACUCCCACCCUGCCUCCCAUCCCCAGGCCUCACCUCCUUGCCUAUUCUGUGAAUGCUUCUGUGAAUAUGGGCAAGAGCUACAAAAUUGUAGUCCGUGAGACUAGGAGGUCAGAAGACUGUGUUGAUUCAGGUGAGCAAAAGGCCGCUUAUAAGCCCUUGUUCAGGUUGAGCUAAAAGGCCUCUCUUUGAUCUGUAAGGGCAGCUCCUGGUUCUCCCUAGAAAGGGCUUCAGAGAAGCCCACAAAAUCUGCAGACACGGAGAAGGGGAUGGUCCUCAAGGAAUAUCAGGGUACCGGAGAAGGAAAAUCAGAGGCCAGGCAGCAGGAAACUAACCACAGACUUUUGGGUCAGUCACUGGACCCUGAGGAGCUCGGCACCACCACCCUCCCUAGAACCACUCCCACCACCUCAGCUCCAGUCUCACUGACUAUGUGAUCUUAGGAAAGUGACUUAACCUCUCUGUGCCUCUGUUUUUCCAUCUGUAAAAUAGAAAUGAUAAUAAAGACUGCAUAUGAAAA
rnacentral:lncRNA from 1 species